rnacentral:rRNA from 1 species
GACGAACGCUGGCGGCGUGCUUAACACAUGCAAGUCGAACGGAAAGGCCCUGCUUUUGUGGGGUGCUCGAGUGGCGAACGGGUGAGUAACACGUGAGUAACCUGCCCUCGACUUUGGGAUAACUUCAGGAAACUGGGGCUAAUACCGGAUAGGAGCUCCUGCUGCAUGGUGGGGGUUAGAAAGUUUCGGCGGUUGGGGAUGGACUCGCGGCUUAUCAGCUUGUUGGUGGGGUAGUGGCUUACCAAGGCUUUGACGGGUAGCCGGCCUGAGAGGGUGACCGGCCACAUUGGGACUGAGAUACGGCCCAGACUCCUACGGGAGGCAGCAGUGGGGAAUAUUGCACAAUGGGCGGAAGCCUGAUGCAGCAACGCCGCGUGCGGGAUGACGGCCUUCGGGUUGUAAACCGCUUUCGCCUGUGACGAAGCGUGAGUGACGGUAAUGGGUAAAGAAGCACCGGCUAACUACGUG